rnacentral:lncRNA from 1 species
AUCUUCCACAUCUCUCUCCGGCAUCAACAAACUUCCCAGAUUGAAGGAGCUCGAGUUCAACUUCAACGGUGUCGGUGACAAAGUCCCUGAUGAGGUGAGGGAGGCCAUUAAAAAUCAUAAAAACAAGCCUAGUCUUAAACUUAAUGGGCCAGAAACACAAGACAAAGCAAAAGGAGAUGAACAAGAUGAUGACGAUGAUGCUGCAACAUUCCCUUUCUGCUGGAAGAAACAGGUUUGACGCUGGAAGGGCCUCUCCUUUGAUCCUAUCGUGUGCUAGUGUGGAUUGCAAUCUGUUCUACUUAUCUGUUGAUUUCUUUCUGCUGCGUGUUUACAUUAUGCAUGCAUUACAACUGAAGUAUGUCCGUUUACAUGCUCUACAUGAGUGCCCUAGUGCCUCUGAUUGAGCAUAAAUGGUUGUAUCUAUGCUUGGAUUUGAAUAUGUAUGGCUUUCAUAUGUACCGAACAUCGUUUGCAUUUGUGUACAGUAUCAUGUAAUAAAGUGUGAGGUUUGUGGACACAUUUGACUUCUUAUUAAUGUACAGCGUGAUAUCAGUGUGCUUUGAUUUGGUUUUGCGACUCAAAGAUGAACUGGUGUGUGUCAUGAUAUAGUCACCUGAUUAAUGUAGGCAUCCGUUUGCUUCAAAUCAGCUGAGUAGCUCUUGCAGUAAUGCCUGACUAUGUACUUGAAGCAGAACUUUAUGCAAGAUUAAGCAUGUGUGAUCGACAAUCUGUCUGUAUCUCCUGAUUGCCAGGCAAGCGCUAGCGCCCCAGGAAGAAUCGAAAUUGUUUCAGCUGUAUAUUGGUGUGCAUUUGGUUGGUAGUUUCUCCCAUUGUUUGCUGGUGGAGAAGCCAGUUCAUGAUAUAAAACUCAGUCAGACAGGGC